GAGCCCGUGUACCAUUAGCUUGUUGGUAGGGUAAUGGCCUACCAAGGCAACGAUGGUUAGCUGGUCUGAGAGGAUGAUCAGCCACACUGGAACUGAGACACGGUCCAGACUCCUACGGGAGGCAGCAGUGGGGGAUUUUGCGCAAUGGGGGAAACCCUGACGCAGCGACGCCGCGUGAGUGAUGAAGGCCUUCGGGUCGUAAAGCUCUGUCGGGUGGGAAGUGACGGUACCACCAAAGGAAGCACCGGCUAACUCCGUGCCAGCAGCCGCGGUAAUACGGAGGGUGCGAGCGUUGUUCGGAAUUAUUGGGCGUAAAGAGCGUGUGGGCGGUUGAACAAGUCAGAUGUGAAAUCCCUCGGCUCAACCGAGGAAGCGCAUUCGAAACUGUUCAGCUUGAGUACGGGAGAGGGGAGCGGAAUUCCCGGUGUAGAGGUGAAAUUGUAGAU
rnacentral:rRNA from 1 species